rnacentral:rRNA from 1 species
UUGAACUGAAGAGUUUGAUCCUGGCUCAGAUUAAACGCUGGCGGCAUGCCUUACACAUGCAAGUCGAACGGCAGCACGGGGGCAACCCUGGUGGCGAGUGGCGGACGGGUGAGUAAUGCAUCGGAACGUGCCCUGAAGUGGGGGAUAACGCAGCGAAAGCUACGCUAAUACCGCAUAUUCUGUGAGCAGGAAAGCAGGGGAUCGCAAGACCUUGCGCUUUGGGAGCGGCCGAUGUCGGAUUAGCUAGUUGGUGGGGUAAAGGCCUACCAAGGCGACGAUCCGUAGCGGGUCUGAGAGGAUGAUCCGCCACACUGGGACUGAGAAACGGC